GUAUCUUAAUCUGUCUCAAGGGCUUACUAAUACAAGCUUUUUAAAACUUUCGAAUGGAUUCAGAGAUCCUGAGCUAAUUGGAGACUUUCCUAAGUGUAAGACCCCAAAGGAAAAAAUGGUAACUGAAAGGGGUGAAGUAGGAGUGACAAAGACAAUGGUGAAUUAGGAACCCAAGCUCCUUCUAAAAGGAGUGACGUCCCCUCAACUCCAGGCAAGGGUUGCCAUGUAGGAGUGCAGUCUGGUGUUAUCACAUGAUAUGAUUAAUUCAGGGAAGCCAAAAUUCAAAUUAUUAUGAGAAAUCACUCUAGAAAGGGUUUCAUAGAAGUAGAUUUUGAGCACUCCUAUAGAAGUGCAAGCUACGCAGAAGUGUAGGAAUUACUGGAUUUGAAGCCAUUUAAAAGAAACAUGAGCCCCGUUUUUCCACAGGGACCUCCCUCCCCAAAGAGGAAAAUGGGUCCCGUGAGUUUGAGUCUCUCUGAGGAAAAUAAACAAAGCUAGCUUUGGUCAACUGAGGCAUUUGUUUUUAUUUAAUCACUAAAACGUUUCCUUUUUUAAAAGGAAGGAGUGAAGAGAGCUCACCUUCUCACUGAUUUAUGUCAUAAUCCUGUCAGAUAUAUUUUUAGAAGUCUUUAAAGAAAUAUAGAGUUUCUUGAAGACAAGGUAACUUCCUGGAACUUCAACCAAAGUUAUUUCUGACUUGCUACUUUCAAAGGAUAUCAGAGCUCACAACGCAGAGAGGAGCAGGAACAAACAACAAAGGUGAAAAUCAAGCCCUUGCACGUAGGAGGCAGGCUUGCUUGGAACAUGCGAUUAUGUGGCAGGAGGAGAAGCUUGGUUCCCUCACAUGGGUGUGGUGUGAAGAUUUGCUCAAAGCCAAAAGUAAGUGAUAAAAUAGUCUCUAAAAGGAUCCUUUUAUGUCUAAGACUCUAGAAUUCUGUGAUUAUAGGAUAUGGAAUAGAAAUUAAUGCAGUAUGUUUCACAUAAAUGAGCAGAUCUAGGAUUAGAAGUAUGUCAUAAUUUGAAGACAACCCCGAAUUUAUUUUUAGGCUACAUGAAUCUUUCAAGGUCUCUGAUUUUUUAAACAACCCACUCUAGCUAGUUUAAGAAAAAAAACUCCCC
rnacentral:lncRNA from 1 species